GUGGGGAAUAUUGCACAAUGGGCGCAAGCCUGAUGCAGCCAUGCCGCGUGUAUGAAGAAGGCCUUCGGGUUGUAAAGUACUUUCAGCGGGGAGGAAGGUGUUGUGGUUAAUAACCGCAGCAAUUGACGUUACCCGCAGAAGAAGCACCGGCUAACUCCGUGCCAGCAGCCGCGGUAAUACGGAGGGUGCAAGCGUUAAUCGGAAUUACUGGGCGUAAAGCGCACGCAGGCGGUCUGUCAAGUCGGAUGUGAAAUCCCCGGGCUCAAACUGGGAACUGCAUUCGAAACUGGCAGGCUGGAGUCUUGUAGAGGGGGUAGAAUUCCAGGUGUAGCGGUGAAAUGCGUAGAGAUCUGGAGGAAUACCGGUGGCGAAGGCGGCCCCCUGGACAAAGACUGACGCUCAGGUGCGAAAGCGUGGGGAGCAAACGGAUUAGAUACCCCUGUAGUCC
rnacentral:rRNA from 1 species